UUUGCAUUCUCUGGAGUUGGGCCUCUGAUGAGGAUUCACUGAUGAUUUUUAGCUUCAAAUUCUGCAAAUUAAAGGAUUGCUCAGGAGAAGCUCUUCCCAGAUCUCUGUACCAGGAAGAUGUGGUUCUCUUAGACAACUGAUCUGGUUCUACUUAUCGACUGUAAAUCCUUGAACUCACAAGCCUCCUACUGUCUACUAGAAAGCUCAAAACACAGUUUUACCUUCUGGAGUCAUACCAAAAGGAUUAGUUCUACUUCGACAAGUUUAUCCUUGAAAAAUUUAAAGAUAAUUAUUACCAUUAGUUGUCUCUUCUUCGGUUU